GAUGAACGCUGGCGGCGUGCUUAACACAUGCAAGUCGAACGGUGAAGCCCCGCUUGCGGGGUGGAUCAGUGGCGAACGGGUGAGUAACACGUGAGCAACCUGGCCUGGACUCUGGGAUACGCGCUGGAACCGGCGUCUAAUACUGGAUAUGAACUGCGGCCGCAUGGUUAGCGGAUGGAAAGAUUUUUCGGUCGGGGAUGGGCACGCGGCCGAUCGACAUGUUGGUGGGGUAAUGUGUCACCAAGGCGUCGACGGGUAGCGGGCCGGAGAGGGUGACCGGCGAUGCUGGGAGGGGGGCACUGACCAGACUCCUACUGGAGGCAGCAGUGUGGAAUAUGGCACAAUGGGCGGAAGCCUGAUGCAGCAACGCCGGGUGAGGGAUGACGGCCUUCGGGUUGUAAACCUCUUUUAGCAAGGACGAAGCUUUGGGGACGGUGCUUGCAGAAAUAGCUCCGGCUAACUACGUGCCAGCCGCCGCGGUAAAAC
rnacentral:rRNA from 1 species